AAUGGGGGAAACCCUGAUCCAGCAACGCCGCGUGGAGGAUGAAGGUCUUCGGAUUGUAAACUCCUGUUAGGGGGGACGAAGGGAUGUCGGCAAACAGUCGGCAAACUUGACGGUACCCCCAGAGGAAGCCCCGGCUAACUCUGUGCCAGCAGCCGCGGUAAUACAGAGGGGGCAAGCGUUAUUCGGAAUUAUUGGGCGUAAAGGGCGCGUAGGCGGCCUUGUAAGUCUUGGGUGAAAUCCCUCAGCUCAACUGAGGAACUGCCUCGGAUACUGCAAGGCUUGAGGCCGGGAGAGGGUAGUGGAAUUCCCAGUGUAGCGGUGAAAUGCGUAGAUAUUGGGAGGAACACCGGUGGCGAAGGCGGCUACCUGGACCGGUUCUGACGCUGAUGCGCGAAAGCGUGGGUAGCAAA
rnacentral:rRNA from 1 species